GAAUGGGAGAAGAUAUUUGCAAAUGACUUAUUUGAUAAAGAGUUAGUACUCCAAAUCUGUAAAGAAAUAAUCAAACUCAACAACCAAA